GGGUUGUGAGGUUAAGCGACUAAGCGUACACGGUGGAUGCCCUGGCAGUCAGAGGCGAUGAAGGACGUGCUAAUCUGCGAUAAGCGUCGGUAAGGUGAUAUGAACCGUUAUAACCGGCGAUUUCCGAAUGGGGAAACCCAGUGUGAUUCGUCACACUAUCAUUAACUGAAUCCAUAGGUUAAUGAGGCGAACCGGGGGAACUGAAACAUCUAAGUACCCCGAGGAAAAGAAAUCAACCGAGAUUCCCCCAGUAGCGGCGAGCGAACGGGGAGCAGCCCAGAGCCUGAAUCAGUGUGUGUGUUAGUGGAAGCGUCUGGAAAGGCGUGCGAUACAGGGUGACAGCCCCGUACACAAAAAUGCACAUGCUGUGAGCUCGAUGAGUAGGGCGGGACACGUGGUAUCCUGUCUGAAUAUGGGGGGACCAUCCUCCAAGGCUAAAUACUCCUGACUGACCGAUAGUGAACCAGUACCGUGAGGGAAAGGCGAAAAGAACCCCGGCGAGGGGAGUGAAAAAGAACCUGAAACCGUGUACGUACAAGCAGUGGGAGCACGCUUAGGCGUGUGACUGCGUACCUUUUGUAUAAUGGGUCAGCGACUUAUAUUCUGUAGCAAGGUUAACCGAAUAGGGGAGCCGAAGGGAAACCGAGUCUUAACUGGGCGUUAAGUUGCAGGGUAUAGACCCGAAACCCGGUGAUCUAGCCAUGGGCAGGUUGAAGGUUGGGUAACACUAACUGGAGGACCGAACCGACUAAUGUUGAAAAAUUAGCGGAUGACUUGUGGCUGGGGGUGAAAGGCCAAUCAAACCGGGAGAUAGCUGGUUCUCCCCGAAAGCUAUUUAGGUAGCGCCUCGUGAAUUCAUCUCCGGGGGUAGAGCACUGUUUCGGCAAGGGGGUCAUCCCGACUUACCAACCCGAUGCAAACUGCGAAUACCGGAGAAUGUUAUCACGGGAGACACACGGCGGGUGCUAACGUCCGUCGUGAAGAGGGAAACAACCCAGACCGCCAGCUAAGGUCCCAAAGUCAUGGUUAAGUGGGAAACGAUGUGGGAAGGCCCAGACAGCCAGGAUGUUGGCUUAGAAGCAGCCAUCAUUUAAAGAAAGCGUAAUAGCUCACUGGUCGAGUCGGCCUGCGCGGAAGAUGUAACGGGGCUAAACCAUGCACCGAAGCUGCGGCAGCGACGCUUAUGCGUUGUUGGGUAGGGGAGCGUUCUGUAAGCCUGCGAAGGUGUGCUGUGAGGCAUGCUGGAGGUAUCAGAAGUGCGAAUGCUGACAUAAGUAACGAUAAAGCGGGUGAAAAGCCCGCUCGCCGGAAGACCAAGGGUUCCUGUCCAACGUUAAUCGGGGCAGGGUGAGUCGACCCCUAAGGCGAGGCCGAAAGGCGUAGUCGAUGGGAAACAGGUUAAUAUUCCUGUACUUGGUGUUACUGCGAAGGGGGGACGGAGAAGGCUAUGUUGGCCGGGCGACGGUUGUCCCGGUUUAAGCGUGUAGGCUGGUUUUCCAGGCAAAUCCGGAAAAUCAAGGCUGAGGCGUGAUGACGAGGCACUACGGUGCUGAAGCAACAAAUGCCCUGCUUCCAGGAAAAGCCUCUAAGCAUCAGGUAACAUCAAAUCGUACCCCAAACCGACACAGGUGGUCAGGUAGAGAAUACCAAGGCGCUUGAGAGAACUCGGGUGAAGGAACUAGGCAAAAUGGUGCCGUAACUUCGGGAGAAGGCACGCUGAUAUGUAGGUGAAGCGACUUGCUCGUGGAGCUGAAAUCAGUCGAAGAUACCAGCUGGCUGCAACUGUUUAUUAAAAACACAGCACUGUGCAAACACGAAAGUGGACGUAUACGGUGUGACGCCUGCCCGGUGCCGGAAGGUUAAUUGAUGGGGUCAGCGCAAGCGAAGCUCUUGAUCGAAGCCCCGGUAAACGGCGGCCGUAACUAUAACGGUCCUAAGGUAGCGAAAUUCCUUGUCGGGUAAGUUCCGACCUGCACGAAUGGCGUAAUGAUGGCCAGGCUGUCUCCACCCGAGACUCAGUGAAAUUGAACUCGCUGUGAAGAUGCAGUGUACCCGCGGCAAGACGGAAAGACCCCGUGAACCUUUACUAUAGCUUGACACUGAACAUUGAGCCUUGAUGUGUAGGAUAGGUGGGAGGCUUUGAAGUGUGGACGCCAGUCUGCAUGGAGCCGACCUUGAAAUACCACCCUUUAAUGUUUGAUGUUCUAACGUUGACCCGUAAUCCGGGUUGCGGACAGUGUCUGGUGGGUAGUUUGACUGGGGCGGUCUCCUCCUAAAGAGUAACGGAGGAGCACGAAGGUUGGCUAAUCCUGGUCGGACAUCAGGAGGUUAGUGCAAUGGCAUAAGCCAGCUUGACUGCGAGCGUGACGGCGCGAGCAGGUGCGAAAGCAGGUCAUAGUGAUCCGGUGGUUCUGAAUGGAAGGGCCAUCGCUCAACGGAUAAAAGGUACUCCGGGGAUAACAGGCUGAUACCGCCCAAGAGUUCAUAUCGACGGCGGUGUUUGGCACCUCGAUGUCGGCUCAUCACAUCCUGGGGCUGAAGUAGGUCCCAAGGGUAUGGCUGUUCGCCAUUUAAAGUGGUACGCGAGCUGGGUUUAGAACGUCGUGAGACAGUUCGGUCCCUAUCUGCCGUGGGCGCUGGAGAACUGAGGGGGGCUGCUCCUAGUACGAGAGGACCGGAGUGGACGCAUCACUGGUGUUCGGGUUGUCAUGCCAAUGGCACUGCCCGGUAGCUAAAUGCGGAAGAGAUAAGUGCUGAAAGCAUCUAAGCACGAAACUUGCCCCGAGAUGAGUUCUCCCUGACUCCUUGAGAGUCCUGAAGGAACGUUGAAGACGACGACGUUGAUAGGCCGGGUGUGUAAGCGCAGCGAUGCGUUGAGCUAACCGGUACUAAUGAACCGUGAGGCUUAACCUUACAACGCCGAAGGUGUUU
rnacentral:rRNA from 1 species